UUUCUUUGCAUGUCCAUCCCUCUUUCCAUCCUUCAAGCACUUGGGGGUCUUUGAGAGCUGCCAACUUUUCAAUGAUUGGUUUUAUGUGUUGCAAAAAAAAAAAAUUGACUUUAAUUAAUGGUUGUUUAUGAUUUGCUAAUGAAGCAGAUCAAAGUGCUCCUGAUGUUGAGGCUCUUGUCUUCGGCCGGAGAAAGAGAUAAGAAGAAAAAGAGCAGACAGCUAGAGACAGGCGAUGGAAAGAGGGCAAGGGGAGUU